AGGAGACGCUGGCGGCGUGGAUUAGGCAUGCAAGUCGGACGGUAGAGCUUUAUCGUAAGAUAGAGUUUGAGAGUGGCGAACGGGUGAGUAACACGUAGGAAUCUACCCUUAAGACGGGGACAACCCAGGGAAACUUGGGCUAAUACCGGAUGAGAGUGCGAGAGAUUGCAUUUAAAAGGAUGGCGAAAGUUGUCGCUUAGGGAUGAGCCUGCGGCCUAUCAGCUAGUUGGUGAGGUAACGGCUCACCAAGGCUAAGACGGGUAGCCGGCCUGAGAGGGUGUACGGCCACACUGGAAUUGAGAUACGGUCCAGACUCCUACGGGAGGCAGCAGUGGGGAAUUUUGCGCAAUGGGGGCAACCCUGACGCAGCGACGCCGCGUGGGUGAAGAAGGCCUUCGGGUUGUAAAGCCCUGUUGGGGGGGACGAUAGUGACGGUACCCCCUGAGGAAGCUCCGGCUAACUACGUG
rnacentral:rRNA from 1 species